CCACAAGCUGGCUUGUCACAGGCCUUUCGUAAUGAGCAAGCACAAAGUUUGAAUUCUGGUUACGACAGCGACUCUGUGAGCGACCCUAUGCCGUUAAGAAUGCAGGCGCCCUCCUUGCCUUGCUCUGGUAGCGAGCGUGCAGACAGUUUGAACUCCAGUUACAGCAGUGACCCUACACCCUUGAGAUUGCAGGCACCCUCCUCGCCUGACUGUGAUAGCGAGCAUGCAGACAAUUUGAACUUUAACCUCA